UAUUGAAAUAAAAGUUAUAAACCCCAUAUUCUUACGCUCUCACCUUUUUCUCAACCUCCCAAAACCAAAAACCUAAACCUUACCCUUUCUCUCUGCUCGUCACAACUUCGUCUUCGAUCAAAUUGAUGCAAUUAUCGAACAUUCUCAAAAACACGAAACACGUCAAGGAAUUUGAGCUUGGUGUGAAUCUAAAAACUCUCCAAACGAAAUUAUCGAACCCGUUUCGCAACCAAUAACAAUAUCUUUGUCUCGUGAAGAGGCAAAAAUGAACAGUGAACUCGCGAAAUUAGUGAAGAAAGAGGUGGAUUUGGUGCAUCUGUGGCCGGAGUGGAUUCAAUUGAUGAAGAUAUUGGUGCAUUAGAAUUAUUUUUAACACAUGAGGAAGAUUGAGGAUAAAAUGGUGCAGGAUUUAGGGUUUGAUACUACCGAGGAUGUACACGAUGAGGGGUUUGAUUUAACUAAGGGUUUUAAGAGUGUUCGUGUUAUGUGUCUCAAUUUUGGUGAGGAUCAUUUUGACUUGUUGAGAUCCCUUUCGAGGCGGGAUAUUUAAGUUUUGGUUGGUUUGGGAUGCCCUAAUGGGGACAGAAAGGUGAUUUUCUCUGGUAAGCUUUUAAGGAAGCUUGUACACCUUGACAAAGGAGAUGAGUUGAUGGACACUGAAGUUGAAAAGAAAAGGUAACAUUCCAGCAUUUAAAGUUGUUGUAUCAUAGAAAUAUUAAAUAUAUAGGAGUUUACUUUGUGACCUUUUUUUCUUUUCUAAUAAGCUAUCCAAUUUAUCUUUAAAUUAAAAUGUAGAGAAAUAAUUAAUGAAAUUGAUAUAAAUAGGCAUAAC